UGUAAGCGUAUACCAAAGUUGUUGCAGUUAAAACGCUCGUAGUCGGAAUUUGGCAGUUCCGGAAGUGUGCACGUCGUGUGCGCACUUUGCGGGGACUGCUUUUGUGGUCUUGCGUAGGAUGAGGCACUUUCAUUAGUGUACGUCCUCACGCAACCACUCUUUACUGUGAGAAAAUCAGAGUGCUCAAAGCAGGCAUUUGCCGUGAAUGUAUUAGCAUGGAAUAAUAGAAUAGGACUCGGUUCUAUUUUGUUGGUUUGUUGGGACUGAGUAAUGAUUAAGAGGGACAGUUGGGGGCAUUUGUAUUCCGGCGCUAGAGGUGAAAUUCUUAGAUUGCCGGAAGACAAACUGCUGCGAAAGCGUCUGCCAAGGAUGUUUUCAUUGA
rnacentral:rRNA from 1 species